rnacentral:rRNA from 1 species
CAUGUCUCAGUGCAUGCCGAGCUAAGGUGAAACCGCGAAUGGCUCAUUAAAUCAGUUAUGGUUUCUUAGAUCGUACCCACAUUUACUUGGAUAACUGUGGUAAUUCUAGAGCUAAUACAUGCAAACCAGAGUUCCAACCAGAGAUGGGAGGAACGCUUUUAUUAGAUCAAAACCAAUCGGUGGCGUUUGUUAAUACAUUCGUCCACCGUUUACUUUGAUGACUCUGAAUAACUUUGAGCUGAUCGCACGGUCCUAGCACCGGCGACAAGUCUUUCAAAUGUCUGCCUUAUCAACUGUCGAUGGUAGGUUCUGCGCCUACCAUGGUUGUAACGGGUAACGGGGAAUCAGGGUUCGAUUCCGGAGAGGGAGCCUGAGAAACGGCUACCACAUCCAAGGAAGGCAGCAGGCGCGCAAAUUACCCACUCCCGGCACGGGGAGGUAGUGACGAAAAAUAACGAUACGGGACUCAUCCGAGGCCCCGUAAUCGGAAUGAGUACACUUUAAAUCCUUUAACAAGGAUCCAUUGGAGGGCAAGUCUGGUGCCAGCAGCCGCGGUAAUUCCAGCUCCAAUAGCGUAUAUUAAAGUUGUUGCGGUUAAAAAGCUCGUAGUUGAAUCUGUGUUUCACACUGUCGGUUCACCGCUCGCGGUGUUUACUGGCAUGAUGUGGGACGUCCUACCGGUGGGCUUAGCCUUUCGGGGCGGUCCAACUAAUAUCCCAUCGGCGGUGCUCUUCAUUGAGUGUCGAGAUGGGCCCGGUACGUUUACUUUG